GCUGGGCGAGGUGGCACACACCUGUAAUCCCAGCAGCUCGGGAGGCUGAGGCAGGAGGAUCUCAAGUUCAAAGCCAGACUCAGCAAAAGCUAGGUGCAAGCAACUCAGUGAGACCCUGUCUCUA
rnacentral:sRNA from 1 species